rnacentral:rRNA from 1 species
GUAGGGGGCAAGCGUUAUCCGGAUUUACUGGGUGUAAAGGGAGCGUAGACGGUGAAGCAAGUCUGAAGUGAAAGGUUGGGGCUCAACCCCGAAACUGCUUUGGAAACUGUUUAACUGGAGUACAGGAGAGGUAAGUGGAAUNCCUAGUGUAGCGGUGAAAUGCGUAGAUAUUAGGAGGAACACCAGUGGCGAAGGCGGCUUACUGGACUGUAACUGACGUUGAGGCUCGAAAGCGUGGGGAGCAAACAGGAUUAGAUACCUUGGUAGUCCACGCUGUAAACGAUGAAUACUAGGUGUGGGAGGACUGACCCCUUCCGUGCCGCAGUUAACACAAUAAGUAUUCCACCUGGGGAGU